GUAUUGAAGCGUAAAAGUAAAUAACGAAGAAAAAACAGAAUGCUAAAAUAAAAACUCAUGGUUUUUUCACCGCCAAUGAAACCACCUGGCUUCGAAAACCUGUGUUUCCCUUCGAGCCUGCUUGGUUUGGUCUGAUUCCACAUGCCAUCUUUGGAGCAGUAGAGUGUGUGCUGCCCCAGAGGGUCCAUGAUGUAACCAGGGUUGCAGUGAUAACGGACCGUCUUAUUGAAGGCUGGUUGCCACUCCAUGAACUGUUCUGCAGGCAGGUACGCUCCGAGGAGCCCCUCAAAAUAUAUCCUGCUUCACAGGUGAAGCGCAGGAGGCUCCGAACACGAAACUCCUCUCCCAGGCGUGAGCCAUGUGGCGGAACACCCGGGUCUCCACAAAAACCAAGAGCACCACCUGCAAGUGAGCAUUUUAGAGAGAGUUGGGUUUCAAUUUAUCAGCCUAGGUGAAAAGUCCCAUGGUUUGAAUCAAUAAGAACUAUUUUUA